rnacentral:rRNA from 1 species
CCUACGGGAGGCAGCAGUGAGGAAUAUUGGUCAAUGGACGAGAGUCUGAACCAGCCAAGUAGCGUGAAGGAUGACUGCCCUAUUGGUUGUAAACUUCUUUUAUAUGGGAAUAAAACAGGGUAUGCAUACCCUCUUGUAUGUACCAUAUGAAUAAGUAUCGGCUAACUCCGUUCCAGCAGCCGCGGUAAUACGGAGGAUCCGAGCGUUAUCCGGAUUUAUUGGGUUUAAAGGGAGCGUAGGUGGAUUGUUAAGUCAGUUGUGAAAGUUUGCGGCUCAACCGUAAAAUUGCAGUUGAAACUGGCAGUCGUGAGUACAGUAGAGGUGGGCGGAAUUCGUGGUGUAGCGGUGAAAUGCUUAGAUAUCACGAAGAACUCCGAUUGCGAAGGCAGCUCACUGGACUGCAACUGACGCUGAUGCUCGAAAGUGUGGGUAUCAAACAGGAUUAGAUACCCGAGUAGUC